rnacentral:tRNA from 1 species
CCCUAAGUUGAACACAUGGCCAGUUCCUUCACCGUAACCCGCUAAGAUUUGGCUCACUUCUUCUUCGAUACGUGGA